rnacentral:rRNA from 1 species
GACGAACGCUGGCGGCGUGCUUAGCACAUGCAAGUCGAACGGAAAGGCCCUGCUUUUGUGGGGUGCUCGAGUGGCGAACGGGUGAGUAACACGUGAGUAACCUGCCCUUGACUUUGGGAUAACUUCAGGAAACUGGGGCUAAUACCGGAUAGGAGCUCCUGCUGCAUGGUGGGGGUUGGAAAGUUUCGGCGGUUGGGGAUGGACUCGCGGCUUAUCAGCUUGUUGGUGGGGUAGUGGCUUACCCAGGCUUUGACGGGUAGCCGGCCUGAGAGGGUGACCGGCCACAUGGGGACUGAGAUACGGCCCAGACGCGUACGGGAGGCAGCAGGGGGGAAUAUUGCACAAUGGGCGGAAGCGUGAUGCGGCAACGCCGCGUGCGGGAUGACGGCCUUCGGGUUGUAAACCGCUUUCGCCUGUGACGAAGCGUGAGUGACGGUAAUGGGUAAAGAAGCACCGGCUAACUACGUG